rnacentral:rRNA from 1 species
UACGUAGGGUGCAAGCGUUGUCCGGAAUUAUUGGGCGUAAAGAGCUCGUAGGCGGUUUGUCGCGUCUGCUGUGAAAACCCGAGGCUCAACCUCGGGCCUGCAGUGGGUACGGGCAGACUAGAGUGCGGUAGGGGAGAUUGGAAUUCCUGGUGUAGCGGUGGAAUGCGCAGAUAUCAGGAGGAACACCAAUGGCGAAGGCAGAUCUCUGGGCCGUAACUGACGCUGAGGAGCGAAAGCUGGGGAGCAAACAGG